UACGUAGGGGGCAAGCGUUGUCCGGAUUUACUGGGCGUAAAGAGCGUGUAGGCGGCCAAGCAGGUCCGUUGUGAAAACUGGAGGCUUAACCUCCAGACGUCGACGGAAACCGCGUGGCUAGAGUCCGGAAGAGGAGAGUGGAAUUCCGUGGUGUAGCGGUGAAAUGCGCAGAUAUCAGGAAGAACACCCGUGGCUAAGGCGGCUCUCUAGUACGGUACUGACGCUGAGACGCGAAAGCGUGGGGAGCAAACAGG
rnacentral:rRNA from 1 species